rnacentral:misc_RNA from 1 species
ACGUGUUCGUUCGGCCGUCCGGGUCGGCCCUGCACCGGCGGAGACGCCGUGCUGCGGGCUCCCGGCGCGCCUUCCAAACCAAACCCCCGUGAACCUUUGGGAGGGCCGAGCCUCCUGGCGACGCCGUCCCCAUUAACAAACCUCAUCGUCUCGAAGAAUGACCGCGGACCUCGUCCGCCUAAACACAUAA